rnacentral:rRNA from 1 species
AAAAGAAACUAACAAGGAUUCCCCUAGUAGCGGCGAGCGAAGCGGGAAGAGCCCAAAAUGAAAAGCCUGCUUGCAGGCGUUGUAGUUGAGCGUCCUCGGGGUGUCAGUGUGGGCAAGUCGCAUGGAAAUGCGCGCCGUGGAGGGUGAGAGCCCCGUCCAACCCACACAGGACACUCCGUACGAGGGCGUUUCAGACGAGUCGGGUAGCUUGGGAAUGCUGCUCUAAUCGGUGGUAAAUCUCAUCGAAGGCUAAAUAGCGGCUGGAGACCGAUAGCGAACAAGUACCGUGAGGGAAAGAUGACAAGCACUUUGAAAAGAGGGUGAAAAGAGCCUGAAACCGUCACGGGGGAAGCGGAUCGCGUUGGAUCGGUGGGCGCUCGUGUGUUCAGCCUUCGGGUGCAUUGGCACGAGUGCUUAUCCGCUGUGAGUUUUCGGGGAUCGAUUUUGGAUCCCUGGAGGCUGAGGGCUCCCUUUUUGAGGUGAGGACAGCGGAGUAACGACGCGAUACGACCCGUCUUGAAACACGGACCAAGGAGUCUAGCGCGGGUGCGAGUCGGAGGGUGCAAGCCCGUGGGCGAAGUGAAAGCGAGUGUAAAAACGAGCAGUUUGGGGCGGCAUAAGAUCGUUGAUCUUAAGACCGACCCAGAGCAGUUGCGCUGGGACCCGAAAGAUGGUGAACUAUGCCGGAGUAGGGCAAAGCCAGAGGAAACUCUGGUGGAGGCUCGUAGCGGUGCUGACGUGCAAAUCGCUCGUCGAACUUGGGUAUAGGGGCGAAAGACUAAUCGAACCAUCUAGUAGCUGGUUCCCUCCGAAGUUUCUCUCAGGAUAGCUGGCCGACAAGUUGUUUUGUGCGGUAAAGCGAAUGAUUAGCGCAAUCGGGGACGUUUAGUCUUCGGGCGAUUCUCAAACUUUCAAUGCGCAAGGGUGCCGCUGCUUAAUUGAGCGGUACCGGCAAAAACGUCGGCCAUGUGGGCCACUUUUGGUAAGCAGAACUGGCGAUACGGGAUGAACCGUAAGCAAGGUUAAGGCGCCAAACUGCCCGCUUAUAGAUCCCACAAAAGGUGUUGAUUCAUCGAGACAGCAGGACGGUGGCCAUGGAAGUCGGAAUCCGCCAAGGAGUGUGUAACAACUCACCUGCCGAAUGAAUUAGCCCUGAAAAUGGAUGGCGCUUAAGCGGGCGGCCGACACCUUGCCGUCUGGACAAGAAUUUCAGAUGAGUAGGAGGGCGUGGCGGCCGUGUCGAAGCGCGCGUGCAGACGCGUGUGGAACGGCCGCUAGUGCAGAUCUUGGUGGUAGUAGCAAGUAUUCAAGCGAGAUCCUUGAAGGGCGAAGUGGGGAAGGGUUUCACGCGAACAUUGAUUGGGCGUGAGUGAGUCGUUCCUAAGCCGAGUGGCAAUUGCUAAUAAACGGCGAAAGGGAAGCGGGUUGACAUUCCCGCACACGGAUGUGGAGGCGGCGACGCAUUAUUGGGGCGAACACGCUGGCGGUGGCGCUGGGCAGAGUUGUCUUUUCUGUUUGACCGCUUGCGCACGCAGUGUGGAAUCCGCUUGUCGGGAGAAACACGCGUGUCCGGGCAGAGCGCUGGGGCUUUUCCAGCGUCCAGCUCGCCAUCGACGGCCCUUGAAACUUUGCCUGCUGAUUUAAGAUCCACGCCGUGGCGUACCGAUCACCGCAUCAGGUCCCCAAGGUGAACAGCCUCUGCUCAAUAUGAAAAAUGCAGGUAAGGGAAGUCGGCAAAUUAGACCCGUAACUUUGGGAAAAGGGUUGGCUCUAGUGCUGCGUGGGAGUGGUUGUCGGAUGCUGGCGUUUUUAGCGUGGCGGCCUGGCGCGGGGCCUUUUCGGAGGACCUGUUCCAGCUGCUAUGCCGAUGGCGCCACAGCCGACGACGCCCACAGCAUGCAGCAGACUAGAACUGCAACGGGCAAAGGGAAUCCGACUGUUUAAUUAAAACAAAGCAUUGCGAGGGCCGUGGCCGGUGAUGACGCAAUGUGAUUUCUGCUCAGUGCUCUGAAUGUCAAAGUGAAGAGAUUCAAUCAAGCGCGGGUAAAUUAGUGACGCGCAUGAAUGGAUUAACGAGAUUCCUACUGUCCCUAUCUGCUUCUAGCGAAACCACAGCCGAGGGAACGGGCUCGGCGAAAUCGGCGGGGAAAGAAGACCCUGUUGAGCUUGACUCUAUUCUAAUUUUGUGAAGCAAGUUGGGAGGCGUAGCAUAGGUGGGAGCGCUUGCGCGUCCGUGAAAUACCACUACUCCCAGUCUUGCUUUACUUACUGGGUUGGUGUGGAUGAGUCUUACGACUCUAUUCUAGAACCAAUGUGCGUUAGUGCAGACCACAGCCCAGCACACAUUUAGGAGGGGAGUUUGGCUGGGGCGGCACAUCUUCUACAAGACAACGAAGGUGUCCAAAGAUGAGCUCAGUGAGAACAGAAAUCUCACGUAGCGCAAAAGGGUAAAAGCUCGUUUGAUUUCGAUUUUCAGUGCGAGUCGAAAACGCGAAAGCGUGGCCUAUCGAUCCUUUCACGAUUCGAGAUUUGAAGCGAGAGGUGUCAGAAAAGUUACCACAGGGAUAACUGGCUUGUGGCGGCCAAGCGUUCAUAGCGACGUCGCUUUUUGAUCCU